CUUGCCCUUUGCCAAGCCUAGGUCUUUGAAACCAGAGCAGAGCAUGGGAUUUCCUAUGAUGGAUGUAAAUGGUAGUCCUGUAUAGUACCCAUCCUGGGACUACCUGGUUGCUGGAGCAUCUGAGCGUGGUGGAGCCACUUGCUGCUACAGGGCACUUAAGCACAGCCUGUAGAGCCACGCGUACGGAUCCAGUUGGUAAUUACUGGAGUCAUUUUCUCCAGUCUGGGAGUGAAGUGGUCACGGGAGUCACAUUCUGGUGAUGAAGAAUAAAUGACCCACCAGCAAAUGACUCCCUACGCUACUGCUACAGCUCCCUGGAAAUACCCACAAUGCUUCUGCCUGGAUUUCAAAGAUGGUCUGGGCCUCACUGUGGUCAUUAGUGCUGUAGGAAAAACAGCAGUCGAUCAAUGGAUUGACUCUGGGGAGAUGCUUCCGGGUUUCAUCGCUCUAAGCCACAGUUACAAGAUCAUUUCUACGAGAAAUAAAAUUACUGUGAAUAUUUCUGUACAAGCUUUUGUGUUGCAACAUGAUCCUGUGCCUCCUGGGAAAAGCAGAUAGAGCCAUCCCUUCCAUUGCUGGCUUGUGAUCUACACGGAGCCCUGAGGACACAAUCUGAAUCAGCCUGAGCACAGAGGGUCAGCUAGAGAGCCCCACCUGAGCACAAGAGAACCUUCUGGAAGCUUCAACCUUAGCAACACAGGGAAGAAGCUGUGAGAAGAUGGAACUACUUUAGAACUUCCUCUUUGAAACGGAAGUGAUGAGGCUUCUGUGAAUAAGCACCUCUCACCCUAGGAAGCUGCUCUCCACAGCAAGGGUGUUCCCCUGAGAUGCCUUGCACACUGCUAGCCUUUCUGGUCGAUUAUCUGCAGUUUGUUUAUCUGUGAGAACAUACUUGUGUGAAGUACUGUCAAGAGUCUGAAUGACAGUGAGAAAAUGUUUGGUGAUGUGAGAGAACAGUGCAUAUGGAGUUGAGUGACAAGUUCUUAAAGGAAACCCUAAAAUAUAAGUUCCUGGCCAGAAUUUUCAAUGAUUGCCUAAUCCAGGCAAGCCAAGCCGUCUGUUACCUGGGUUCUUGUCCCCUUUUUAGGGAGGGGCUAGUGAUAGGCUGUCCUUCUGUAAGGAGCCAUCUCUAGCUGACAUCUGUCAUCUGUCAACCACUUAACUGUAAUGAUGGGCAAAGUUGCUAUCAGCUGUCAAUGGGCCAUAUGCACUGAUAGUAAAGGAACAGACUGUAGCCGCAUCUCAUAGAUGCAGGACUUAUACAGGUGAGCCAGCAUGAUGCUCACUACCGGGUGGGUUGGAGUUCUGUGUGGGUGCUGCAGAGAAAAGCAUGGGAAGGAAGGUCAGGUGACCCGAGAGGCAUAUUGUCUUAACCUUUGUCACAAAGCUGAAGGGAAUAAAU
rnacentral:lncRNA from 1 species